CUGCGAGUGAAGCGGGAAAAGCUCAAAUUUAAAAUCUGGCGGUUUCACCGUCCGAGUUGUAAUCUGGAGAAGCGUUUUCCGUGUCGGACCGUGCACAAGUCUCUUGGAACAGAGCGUCAUAGAGGGUGAGAAUCCCGUUUAUGGCACGGACAACCGAUACUUUGUGAUACGUUUUCUAAGAGUCGAGUUGUUUGGGAAUGCAGCUCAAAAUGGGUGGUAAAUUCCAUCUAAAGCUAAAUAUAGGCGAGAGACCGAUAGCGAACAAGUACCGUGAGGGAAAGAUGAAAAGCACUUUGGAAAGAGAGUUAAACAGUACGUGAAAUUGUUGAAAGGGAAACGCUUGAAGUCAGUCGCGUCUUCUAGGACUCAGCCUUGCUUCGGUUAGGUGUACUUCCUGGUUUGACGGGUCAACAUCGAUUUUGAUCGACGGAUAAAGGAGAAGGGAACGUGGCACCUCCGGGUGUGUUAUAGCCCUCUUCGUAUACGUCGAUUGGGAUCGAGGACUGCAGCACGCCCUUGUGGCCGGGGGUUCGCCCUACGUAUCGUGCUUAGGAUGUUGACAUAAUGGCUUUAAGCGACCCGUCUUGAAACACGGACCAAGGAGUCUAACAUGCUCGCGAGUGUUAGGGUGGAAAACCCUUGCGCGUAAUGAAAGUGAAAGUUGGGACCUCUGCGAGGAGGGCACCGACGCCCGGCCCUGAAGUUUUCUGACGGUGCUGCGGUAGAGCGCGUAUGUUGGGACCCGAAAGAUGGUGAACUAUGCCUGAAUAGGGCGAAGCCAGAGGAAACUCUGGUGGAGGCUA
rnacentral:rRNA from 1 species